rnacentral:rRNA from 1 species
CCUACGGGUGGCAACAGUGGGGAAUAUUGGGCAAUGGGCGCAAGCCUGACCCAGCAACGCCGCGUGAAGGAAGAAUGCUUUCGGGUUGUAAACUUCUUUUCUCAGGGACGAAGCAAGUGACGGUACCUGAGGAAUAAGCCACGGCUAACUACGUGCCAGCAGCCGCGGUAAUACGUAGGUGGCAAGCGUUAUCCGGAUUUACUGGGUGUAAAGGGCGUGUAGGCGGGACUGCAAGUCAGAUGUGAAAUCCACGGGCUCAACCUGUUGCCUGCAUUUGAAACUGUAGUUCUUGAGUACUGGAGAGGUAGACGGAAUUCGUAGUGUAGCGGUGAAAUGCGUAGAUAUUAGGAGGAACACCAGUGGCGAAGGCGGUCUGCUGGACAGUAACUGACGCUGAGGCGCGAAAGCGUGGGGAGCAAACAGGAUUAGAUACCCCAGUAGUC